rnacentral:rRNA from 1 species
AUGGCGGGGCGCAAGGAGACGGCGCUCAACCUGGCCAAGUUUGUCGACAAGGGCGUCCAGGUCAAGCUCACCGGCGGCCGCCAAGUUACAGGAACUUUAAAGGGAUAUGACCUACUGCUGAACUUAGUGCUGGAUGAAGCAAUCGAGUCUGAAAGAUAUAUAUGGACACGGAUUGGCCUUCAUUAUUUUGUAUCUACUGUUAGAUAUAUGCUAUGCUGGCGUUUCAUGUUUCGUCGCGAGCAUCAAGACGAAGAAGUCGGCAGAAGCAUAGUGCAAGCUCAUCGGAGCUAG